GGAGGAUAAGGUGGCCAACACUGUUUUAUAUAUAUAAAAUAUUGGGACAUAUAAAAAAAGACAACUCUGUUCCGCAGAGUAGCUGUUGACAUUAUAGUUGUGCAGGCACUUUGUUGACUCUAGAGAACCUUGGGCCAAUCGAACAUCCCCGUGGCGUCAGCUUUGCAUUCGGAUGACAUCCAGAUCAACUUUCGAUGCCAGUUUCUGCGUCUACCAUGGUGACCACGGGUAACAGGGAAUCAGGGUUCCAUUCCGUACAGGGGCCCUGAGAAAAGUCUACCACAUGCAAGGAAGGCAGCAGGCGCGCAAAUGACCCACUACUGACGCUGGAAGGUAGUGAC